GAGGAUAUAGCUCAAGUGGUAGAGAGCAUGCCUACCAUGCACAAGGUCCUGGGUUCAAUCCCCAGUACCUCCU
rfam:Camelus ferus unplaced genomic scaffold scaffold925, whole genome shotgun sequence.